rnacentral:rRNA from 1 species
GACCAGACUCCUACGGGAGGCAGCAGUGGGGAAUAUUGCACAAUGGGCGAAAGCCUGAUGCAGCAACGCCGCGUGAAGGAAGAAGGGUUUCGGCUCGUAAACUUCUAUCAACAGGGACGAAAGAAAUGACGGUACCUGACUAAGAAGCCCCGGCUAACUACGUGCCAGCAGCCGCGGUAAUACGUAGGUGGCGAGCGUUAUCCGGAUUUACUGGGUGUAAAGGGCGUGUAGGCGGGAGAGCAAGUCAGAUGUGAAAACUACAGGCUUAACCUGUAGCCUGCAUUUGAAACUGUUCUUCUUGAGUGAUGGAGAGGCAGGCGGAAUUCCUAGUGUAGCGGUGAAAUGCAUAGAUAUUAGGAGGAACACCAGUGGCGAAGGCGGCCUGCUGGACAUUAACUGACGCUGAGGCGCGAAAGCGUGGGGAGCAAACAGGAUUAGAUACCCGCGUAA